AAUUUUCAAUCUUUCCGUUUCUUUAUUCUUAAUUGAGAAAAACCGCCGUGGACAAAGACCUGAGCAAUGCAGUUAACUGUGCAGUAUAACCCCGAACUGAAUCAUAACCAGAAACCCGUCUCUGUUUAAGCAUCGAUCAAUGUCCCUCUUAAACCAACUCUUCAACAGAGGCGUUUUUGGUUCUAAAUGCAAAACAUGCUUGAACUUGGCAAUCUCGCGCAUUAAAUUGCAGCAAAAUAAGAGAGAUUUGCAGCUUAAACAUAUGCGCAAGGAGAUUGCGCAAUUUCUUCAGGCUGGACAAGAAGCAAUGGCUCGAAUUCGAGUGGAACAUGUAACAAGGGAAAAGAAUAUAUGGGCUGCAUAUGAAAUAUUGGAGCUGUUCUUCUAGUUUGUACUUGCGCGUGUUCCCAUUCUUGAAAGUCAGUGAUGUCAAGUAUAUGGAGACAUGUGCUGGAACUGGGUUGGAUUAUCAAAUGUAGCAGUAAUGUGGAUCUAAGGGUGGAUCAAAGCAGAUUGUGGCUGAAGCCACAUUUCCUCAAGCUCCUACCAAACAGAGCUCUCCUCUAUCUCCACUUUCCAAUGGGGUCCAUCGUACCAUAAUAUGGAUAGCAAACAAGGAUCUCAUCAUCUUCAAGCUUCUGGCACUGUGAGCAAUAUGCCCCAGGUCACUUCUAACAAAAUUGAACCAUCAAUCAGGUAUCAUAAUGCCGGACCAUUGACUGAUGGUAAUAGGGAGACAACACCACAAGCAACUAGAUAGCUUGAGCCGCCAUUGCAUAAGCAGAGCUGCCGAACUUGUAAAUGUUAAAUUUGGCUCAUUUAGGUUAGGUGAAGGCAAGUUAUCGUUAUUCCAUAAUCGACCUUUGAUUAUAAAAUUAUAUCUCAAGAUCACACAAUCAAGCAUGCCAAAACAGAAACCAAAAGAAAAUGUACAUUAUUUCACUAUGUAAAAACACAAUCUUACAAAAACUGGAAACUACCAAGAGUUUCAUAUUGGUAAUAUUUUUAUACCACCAUGAUCUUCGCUGAAAUACCAAGAAACCCCACGAUUGUAUCAACUUCUUCUAAGAUUUCAAUUCAUAUGUUUUCUGCACA